AGCGAACGCUGGCGGCAGGCCUAACACAUGCAAGUCGAACGAACUCUUCGGAGUUAGUGGCGGACGGGUGAGUAACACGUGGGAACGUGCUUCUAGGUUCGGAAUAACUCAGGGAAACUUGUGCUAAUACCGCAUGGGCCCUUCGGUGGAAAGAUUUAUCGCCUUUAGAGCGGCCCGGGUCUGUUUAGCUAGUUGGUGAGGUAACGGCUCACCAAGGCGACGAUCAGUAGCUGGUCUGGGAGGAUGACCAGCCGCACUGGGACUGAGACACGGCCCAGACUCCUACGGGAGGCAGCAGUGGGGAAUCUUGCGCAAUGGGCAAAAGCCUGACGCAGCCAUGCCGCGUGAAUGAUGAAGGUCUUAGGAUUGUAAAAUUCUUUCACCGGAGACGAUAAUGACGGUACCCGGAGAAGAAGCCCCGGCUAACUUCGUGCCAGCAGCCGCAGUAAAAC
rnacentral:rRNA from 1 species